GCCCGUCUAGCUCAGUUGGUAGAGCGCAAGACUCUUAACCUUGUGGUCGUGGGUUUGAGCCCCACGGUGGGCC
rnacentral:tRNA from 1 species